GUGCUGCAUGGCUGUCGUCAGCUCGUGUCGUGAGAUGUUGGGUUAAGUCCGCAACGAGCGGCAACCCUCAUUUUUAGUUGCCAUCAGGUUAUGCUGGGCACUCUAAAAAAACUGCCGGUGAUAAGCUGGAGGAAGGCGGGGAUGACGUCAAGUCCUCAUGGCCUUACGGUCUGGGCUACACACGUGCUACAAUGGUGGUGACAGUGGGCAGCAAUACUGCAAAGUAAAGCUAAUCCCAAAAAACCAUCUCAGUUCGGAUUGGACUCUGCAACUCGAGUCCAUGAAGUUGGAAUCGCUAGUAAUCGUAGAUCAGCGUGCUACGGUGAA
rnacentral:rRNA from 1 species